rnacentral:rRNA from 1 species
GACAGAGGUGCCGAGCGUUAGGCGGAAUCACUGGGCUUAAAGCGUGUGUAGGCGGGUCGUUAAGUGUCUUGUGAAAUCCCCCGGCUCAACCGGGGAAUGGCUGGGCAUACUGGCGAUCUUGAGCAGUCUAGGGGCAGAUGGAACAAGUGGUGGAGCGGUGAAAUGCGUAGAGAUCGGGAGGAACAUCCAUGGCGAAGGCAGCUACCUGGACCAACACUGACACUGAGGCACGAAAGCGUGGGGAGCAAACAGG